UCCUGGCUCAGAAUGAACGCUGGCGGCGUGCUUAACACAUGCAAGUCGAASGAAAGCUAUGUAACUUGAGCCUUCUUCGGAAGCGACGAUGUGUAGACUGACGGCGGACGGGUGAGUAACCCGUGAGGAACCUACCUCGGACAGGGGAAUAACCUGAGGAAACUCAGGCUAAUACCCCAUGACCUAUUGAGAGAGCCUUUUCUUAAUAGCAAAGAUUUAUCGGUCUGAGAUGGCCUCGCGUCCCAUUAGCUAGUUGGUGAGAUAACGGCUCACCAAGGCGAUGAUGGGUAGCUGAACUGAGAGGUUGACCGGCCACAUUGGGACUGAGACACGGCCCAGACUCCUACGGGAGGCAGCAGUGGGGAAUUUUGGGCAAUGGGGGAAACCCUGACCCAGCGACGCCGCGUGGAGGAUGAAGGCCUUCGGGUUGUAAACUUCUUUGGCCAGGGACGAUAAUGACUGUACCUGGAGAACAAGCCACGGCUAACUACGUGCCAGCAGCCGCGGUAAUACGUAGGUGGCAAGCGUUAUCCGGAAUUACUGGGUGUAAAGGGCGUGUAGGCGGCCUUACAAGUUGGGUGUUWAAUCCCCGGGCUCAACCCGGGUUUGUCACUUAAAACUGUAAGGCUUGAGGCUCAGAGAGGACAGUGGAAUUCCUAGUGUAGCGGUAAAAUGCGUAGAUAUUAGGAGGAACACCGGUGGCGAAGGCGGCUGUCUGGCUGAGAACUGACGCUGAUGCG
rnacentral:rRNA from 1 species